rnacentral:tRNA from 1 species
GCAUGAUCCUGCCUGGUGGUGGGUCGAGGCUUCAAACCUCGGGGGGCUUAACGGCCCAGUUGUUCAAUUCAACCUUG